rnacentral:lncRNA from 1 species
AAGUAAGUUGUGCUGAAAUAGAGUUAUCAAGAUUUAGGUUAUGUAAGAUCCAUAUGUAGCGCAGAACUACAGUUGAAAGCUAUGAACUUUGUCUUCCUUACUGAUGGUUGUUGUCUGUUGGGUUAAUCUUCACUUGAAUCUAUCUAGAUAAAGUCACAACCUUUAAGGUUGUCUCUGUGAUAAAUCAUGUUCUAAGCAACUGAUUUUUUUGGUGGCAGAUAGUUGUAAUAUGGAGGCUACGAAGAAACAUAUAAUUCAAGAUAGAUCUUCAAUCUUUUAUCAUCAACCAUCUUCACUCCAGCAAAUGAACCUUUCUGUUCAAACAUUUGAUUGUUACUGCACACUUGAAUCCUCUCCAGGCACCAAGUCUCAUGCAUGUCUUAACAACAACACUUCUUCAACCACUAGCUUUUCCUCUAACGGCAACUCAUCAGAGUUGAAUCAUUCUCCUGAGGACAACAGCAACUCUCCCCUAAGCGGUUCUUCAGCAACAAACAACAACGAGGCAGAGCUUAGUCUCAUGCUGAAAGAAUUGGAGACUGCAAUGAUGGAGCCUGAACUAGACAACAAUGAUAAGAGAUUGUAUGUUAUUUGUUUCUGUUCCGCCCAACCUCCCUCUCUUGUAUUCUACACUCUAGAAGUACAAGCCAAAUAUAGAGAUCUUCUCAAGACGUCUCACACGUCGAGAGCCUGAGAUCAAGACCCUAGUCUAUAGAUCUUUACACAGUACUCAAAAAGACCCUUUUCUUUCUCUUCAAACUAUUAUUUAUACUCCUCUCAUUGUAACGGCCUCGUAACAACCCCUUAGUCCACGUCAACACUCACUUCCUCUUUAUCUUCUUCUUCUCUUCUCACAGCUCCCUUCUUCUUACGUUAAUACACCCUCCAUGGCUUAUCAUUACCCCCCCAAAUCAAAUUGAGCUUGUCCUCAAGCUCGAAUGCAGGGAAAUCACGCUUCAAAUCUCGGACACGCAUCCACGAUGUCUCAUGUAUAGGCAACCCUUUCCACUGCACCGAAACCUCCAAAUAACCCUCGUCAUCAUAACGAUAGCUAGCCAACGCCUCAGGGUAUAAGACAAAUUCCGCACUCUCUUUCAAUGCUGAUGGUAACUCAGUGACAAUAUGGUUCUUCCCCAACACCGGCUUCAACUGCGAAACAUGAAAAACCGGGUGUAUCUUACAGUCAGCAGGUAGUUGCAAGCGAUAAGCGACCGGCCCAAUCCUUUCCAAUACUGUAAAAGGACCAUAAUAUUUCGCGGCUAGUUUGCGGCAAAACGUUUUUGCCAAAGUCUUCUGACGGUAAGGUAUGAGUUUCAAGAAAACCGAAGAUCCCACCGAAAAUUGAAGAUCACGCCUAUGUUUAUCAGCACUGUUCUUCAUCGCAGCCUGUGCUUUUACUAAAAAUUCUUUAGCAUGUCGCAACAUCUCAUCUCGCUCUUUCAACAUAACCUCCAACUCAAAAUUCAUAGUAGAACCGUCUUCAUACCGCAGCAAUGAUGGUGGUUCCCGACCAUAUACCAACUUGAAAGGAGACGUAUGUGUGGAAGUGUGAUAGGAUGUAUUAUACCAAUACUCACACCAAGACAAAUACUUGCUCCAUUGCUUGGGAUUGGCAGACGUGAAACAACGCAAAUACGCCUCGAGGCAUCGGUUCACCACCUCAGUCUGACCAUCACUUUGAGGGUGAUAGGCCGUACUAAACUUCAGAGAUGUGCCUGCCAAGCGAAAACAUUCCCUCCAAAACUUACUGAGAAACACGCGGUCACGAUCUGAAAUGAUCGAAACUGGAUAACCAUGCAGCCUUACAAUCUCACGAAUGAACUUCUCUGCUACUGAUGUUGCAGUGUAAGGGUGUUUCAAAGGAAUGAAAUGUGCGUAUUUACUCAGUCGAUCCACUACCACCAUGAUCACAGAAAAAUCCUCUGCUUUCGGUAAACCAUCUAUGAAAUCCAUGGAAACUUCAGACCAAAUCAUAGUAGGGAGUGGUAUCGGUUGUAACAGACCACCAGGAUUCAGUGUUGAGUAUUUGUGGGUCUGGCAUAUAGUGCACUCCGACACAUAGUGUUGAACAUCGUCUUUUAACUUAGACCAAUGGAACAACCUUUGGAUGCGUUUGAUUGUUUUCAACACCCCAGAAUGCCCGCCAAAUACCCCGUCAUGUUAUUCCUGGAGUAUAAUCACAAUAUACUUUGAUGUCUUAGGGAUAACCAAUCUUCCUUUGUAAAAUAGUCGACCCUUGAUGAUCGAAUAAUGCUUCUUCGGAUUUCUUCCCUGAACGAUGUCUUGAAUUUCCUUCUGUAAACCCGGGUUAGAAUCAAUUUCCUCCAACAAAUCUUGCAUUUGCAGGUUAGAUGAAACUGUCAAUGCGCACAAAAGACCUUCAUUGUCAAACUUCGUAUCUUGUGAAAUACGAGAAAGUCCAUCUGCUGCUUUAUUUUCGAUCCCGGCUUUGUAGAUGAUCUCAAAGUCAAAACCCAAGAGUUUAGUGAGUCAUUUUUGAUAAUCCAUAGAAAUGUCUCUCUGCUCUAACAAAAAUUUCAAGCUCUUUUGAUCAGUGUAGACCAAAAACGUCUUCCCAUCAAAUAAUGUUUCCAGCGUUGAACCGCCAGCACAAUGGCCAUCAAUUCUCUUUCGUAUAUGGGGUUUUAGCUGCUCUUUGUCUGUUAACGCCUUACUGAAAUAGCAAAUGGGCUUGUGGUUCUGCAUAAGGAAUGCUCCCAAUCCAAACCCUGAAGCAUCAGCUUCGAUCACAAAUAUUUCUUGAAAAUUAGGCAGAGCAAGCACAGGAGCUGUUGUCAUUGCCAGCUUCAGUUGAUCAAAAGCUACCUGCGUUUUUCCCGACCAAUCAAAACUGUCCUUCUUUAAUAAGUCUGUCAACGGCCGUGCAAUAACCCCAUAACUCUUCACAUAUUUUCUGUAGUACCCAGUCAAUCCAAGAAACCCCCUCAAACUCUUUAUUGUUCUUGGAGAUGGCCACACUUGCAUUGCUUUCGUCUUUGCUGGGUCGGUGGCCACACCUUCUUUAGAAAUAAUAUGCCCCAAGUAGUCGACAUGAUCUUGCGCAAAAGCACAUUUCUUGCGGUUUGCUAGUAAAGAAUGACGCUUCAAGGUCUCUAAAACGAUCUUCAAAUGUUCACAAUGCUCCUCCACUGAUUUACUAUAAACCAGAAUAUCAUCAAAAAAUACCAAGACGAACUUCCUGAGAUACGGCUUGAAAACUGCAUUCAUCAGUGACUGAAAUGUUGCCGGGGCAUUACUGAGGCCAAACGGCAUCACAACAAACUCGUAAUGUCCCUCAUGUGUCCUAAAAGCUGUUUUUUUCGAUGUCAGCUUCACUCAUUCGUAUUUGAUGAUACCCUGAACGAAGAUCCAGUUUUGAAAAUACUGAUGCACCAUAUAACUCGUCCAAUAACAGAUCAAUAACUGGGAUAGGGAAUUUAUCAGGAAUUGUGAUCUUGUUUAAGCCCCUAUAGUCAAUACAAAAUCGCCAUCCCCCAUCUUUUUUCUUAACUAGCAGUAUUGGACUAGCAUAUGGGCUUCUACUUGGCCUGAUCACUCCAGAAUCCAACAUUUGCUUCACCAUUUUCUCUAUCACCGUCAUGUGUGCAUGAGGGUAACGAUAUGGACGAACUGCCACUGCUCCUGCCCCAUCAAUCAACCGUAUACUGUGCUCGAACUCUCUCUCAGGUGGUAGCUGAAUUGGUUCCUGAAAGACGGAUGAGUAAUGUUCGAGUAUUGACGCAAUCUCUGUUGGCAUGUCUUCAGCUAUUGGCACCUCUUCUGAUUUUAUAGUACCCAACUCAUGUAACUCAAACCCAGUCGUGAUAGACUCCAAUGAUGAUGUCUUCGAAUGUAAAGCUCGAUCUCCCACCAAAGUGACUCUUCCUUUUGAAGUAACAAACGAAAGCUCUUGAUUUUCCCAAUCAACUUCACAUUUCCCCAAGGUUCGAAGCCACUGGAUUCCCAAAACCACAUCUGCUCCCCCCGGAUCCAAUACAAUAAAGUCUGAUCAGAUAACCACCGACUGCAGUUGCAAUGUGACUCCUUUGCAAACACCACAACCAUUAACUGUAAUUCCUGUACCCACCAUGACUUUGAAAGAAGACAUGUCCUCUUGUUGCAGGUGAGCCUUUGUCAUCACUUCCGGAGAUAAGAAAUUGUGAGUAGCUCCACUAUCAAUUAAAACCACCACAUUCGUUUUUCCAAUACGGCCCUGAAUCUUAGUAGUAGUUGGAGAAGACCAUCCCAUGUACGAAUACAAUGACAUCUCCAUCACUUCUGUAGUAGUACCUUGCAAUUCUUCACACGAAUCAUGAAACUCUUCCUCAAUUAGCUCAACUUCACACCCCUGUGCCACCACCAUUAUCUGAAGAUGUUUAUUCUUACAAAUAUUGUUGUGAGAUCUCGUCCACUUCUCAUCGCAAGAGAAACAAAUUCCAUUUUUUUCUUGUGUUCAAAUUCAGCAUCAGAAAGUUUCACUCGAUUCUGGCCCUUCAGAACAACAGCUUGAGUUGAUUGUUUGACACUUGGGUCAAGUUGCUUUUGCUUAUUGUUCCAAGCUUGGUUUGUUGGAGUAGCUAACGGUUUGAAGAAGGGACUUGUUCUCGACUUGACAAAACGUUUUUCUUGACCCUUCGCAGAUGAAAACAAACGACAAAACUCACUAUCUUCCAUCUUAAUCACUGCUUGAAUGUGAUCAGAUAAUGUGCGAGGCUCUUUCAUCAUUAUAACCUCCUUCAUUUCUCUUUUUAGCCCGUUGAAGAAGAUGUCAAUCUUGUGUGCUUCGGCUAACUUAAUCUGAGAAGCUAACUCUUGAAACUCCCGCACAUACUCAGCUAUCGUGCAUGUUUGUUGUAUACUGAACAGUCUUUUCCCCGGUGUUUUCUCAAAUGAUUCUGCAAAUCUCGCUAAUAGUCUCCUCUUGAAAUCGAACCAGUCAAUGAAAUCCCCAUACUCAAUCUCGUAGUUAAACCAGCAGAGAGCAUCUUCUUCCAAACUCAAAGAGGCUAAUUCCAACUGAUACUCCGGCGUUGACUGCAUCACUCGAAAAUACCUCUCUGCUUGUGCGAUCCAACCAAACGGAUUGAUACCAGAGAAGAUAGGCAUCUCUACUUUCUUAUAUAAUCCCUUUCGAUUCUCAGAUCUGUUCUCUACAUUCCGAUAACCUAGCUCAGGUUCCUUCCGGUACUGUUCGAAAUGUCUAGGAGAUGCCUGAUUCAAGUUUCGUGGAUCUUCUUGCGUCGGAUUAGCUCCACUCGAUUCCGGCUGUGAUGACCGAGGAUUCGAUUGUUGAAUCGUAGCGAUGAAAGCUGUCAGAGUCGAUUCAAGACUCGAGAAUCGCUCGUCCAUCUUCGUCUCCUUCGAUUGAUUGUUCACCUCCGUUGUCGCUACAAAUCUGUUGAAUCGGUCGUCGAGACUAUCGAAUCUCCGUCGUAACUCAUCGACGUUGUUAUUCAACGCACCGAUCCGCUGCAUUGAUUCUUCCAGAGUCGCCGAUCUCGUCAUCGUCGUCUCUUUCUCGUGGAACGAAUGCUCACCGCACCAAAUGAUAAGAGAUUGUAUGUUAUUUGUUUCUGUUCCGCCCAACCUCCCUCUCUUGUAUUCUACACUCUAGAAGUACAAGCCAAAUAUAGAGAUCUUCUCAAGACGUCUCACACGUCGAGAGCCUGAGAUCAAGACCCUAGUCUAUAGAUCUUUACACAGUACUCAAAAAGACCCUUUUCUUUCUCUUCAAAC